rnacentral:snoRNA from 1 species
AACCCAUAGUGAGGGCACCUUAUCAAUAAAUCCUUGUAUCUCUCCUAUGGAUCAUGAAGUGUUUCUAAAUCCAUCUGCACAAAAGAAGAGAUGUCAUUUCUCAAUUU